rnacentral:rRNA from 1 species
UGGGGAAUAUUGCGCAAUGGGGGAAACCCUGACGCAGCGACGCCGUGUGAGGGAAGAAGGCUUUCGGGUCGUAAACCUCUGUCAGGAAGGAAGAACCCCCCGGGUCCGAACAGGGCUCGGGGCUGGCGGUACUUCCAGAGGAAGCGCCGGCUAACUCCGUGCCAGCAGCCGCGGUACUACGGAGGGCGCAAGCGUUAAUCGGAAUCACUGGGCGUAAAGCGCGCGUAGGCGGCUUUCUAAGUCGGACGUGAAAGCCCUCGGCUCAACCGGGGAAUUGCGUUCGAAACUGGAUGGCUUGAGUCCUGGAGAGGGUGGCGGAAUUCCGGGUGUAGGAGUGAAAUCCGUAGAUAUCCGGAGGAACACCGGUGGCGAAGGCGGCCACCUGGACAGGUACUGACGCUGAGGCGCGAAAGCGUGGGGAGCAAACAG